GACGAACGCUGGCGGCGUGCUUAACACAUGCAAGUCGAACGGAAAGGCCCUGCUUUUGUGGGGUGCUCGAGUGGCGAACGGGUGAGUAACACGUGAGUAACCUGCCCUUGACUUUGGGAUAACUUCAGGAAACUGGGGCUAAUACCGGAUAGGAGCUCCUGCUGCAUGGUGGGGGUUGGAAAGUUUCGGCGGUUGGGGAUGGACUCGCGGCUUAUCAGCUUGUUGGUGGGGUAGUGGCUUACCAAGGCUUUGACGGGUAGCCGGCCUGAGAGGGUGACCGGCCACAUUGGGACUGAGAGACGGCCCAGACUCGUACGGGAGGCAGCAGUGGGGAAUAUGGCACAAUGGGCGGAAGCCGGAUGCAGCAACGCCGCGUGCGGGAUGACGGCCUUCGGGUUGUAAACCGCUUUCGCCUGUGACGAAGCGUGAGUGACGGUAAUGGGUAAAGAAGCACCGGCUAACUACGUG
rnacentral:rRNA from 1 species